GUGACCUUUGCACCCAUCUUAAACUUGGAAGGCCAUUUACUAAAGCAAGAAAAGAAGAGUGGAUAUUGGGACAACUUGUUUGCUCGGCUCCACCUCUUUUUGAAAAGACGGAAUGGCCUGUUCAUUGGUCAUGUGUGUAAGAUCUUCAAUUGAUUCUUCAGGAUUUUUCAGAACACAGAGAUACAGGAAGAUCCUAGAAGCUUUCAGAGACUGAAAGGGUCACAUAAUGAGCAUCAAGAACCAGAAUGGCACUGGACUUCUUAACAUCAACCCAGAACAUGUGGUUGUAGAGAACUGCCUUCAGAAUUCUGGGGGAAGAUGAUUUCCAACCAAGAUUUAUGCAUCCAGCCAAACUGUCAAUCAAUUAUCCAAAAACUGAACUCCCAUAUGCAGUUUCCAAGGAAGCUACUGGCAUGCAUACUACAACAACUGAGAGGAGUAAACCAAGAAAGAACAUGGCUUAGGAUCUAAGAAACAAGGACCCAACAUAGGAGAGUGGUGAAGGGAAUUCUUAGGAUACUGAUGAAGAGAAAUUUCAGGACUUCUAUACUGACAGCGAGGAGAUCAACUGAUCCAGGUGGAAGCAGGACAGAGGGCUUCAAGAGGAAAAUAGAACUGAUAAGUUCCCAGAUAUAUUUGAAAUAUAUUACUAGAAGUUUAGACAUGUUUGUAGGAAGUUAAUGAUGUUAUGUCAACAACUAAUUAAAUGAAAACUGGGGUAAUUACUAACUCCAGGGUGGGGGGAAGUGUAGAAGACAGCAACUAUAACCAUAAUAUAGCAUUUUGUUUAUCUGUGAAUAAUGUAUAUGUAGGUAUGAUAAUGUAAAAACUGAGUAUUAAUUUAUCAACUGUGAUAGAACUAUAUUGAAAGGAAAAGUGUGGGUUUGUGCGUGGUGUCUGGUGGAGCAUCAGAAUCUUCUACAGGAGGAAGCCAAUAAAUAAUAUCUAAAAAAUAAUGGUAAAGAAUGAUAUUUAGAAAUAUAAAAGUAAAUGUCAGAAGGGAUAGCUGAAAGAAUUGAAAGUAGUUGCUUCUGAGGAGGGGGCUGGGCACUGAGAGGAGAGGCAGGACUGCUGCUUUUCAUCAUCAGUUUCCUGGUAACAGUUGACUUUAAAAUUUUUCUGCAUAAAUAUUUUAGUAAAAAUAGAAAUUUAGUUUUAAAAUGUUCAUGUGUGUAUUAUCUAAAGGCAGCUUUUGAACCACGUCUGCUCUUAGCAAAGUUUGGACAGACCAACAUGCUAAUUCCAGUUCUGCAAAUCACUCGCUGUGUGACUCCGGGAAAGUUUCUCAGUCUCUCUGAGCCUCCACUUUGUUAUCUAUAAAAUUGAAAUAAUACAAGUACCCACAUCAUAGAAUUACUGAGAUGAUAAAAUGAGAUCAUACCUGGGCCUGCACAUAGAAGCAUCCAAUAAAAGGGAACUGUGUGCAUGGAGGUCCAGGCCCCAGAUCUUUGCAUGCCAUGGCUCUGCAAUGCCUCCCCAGUCUCUCCUGGCUGAUGCAGGACAGGCAGGUCCUAGCAUUCCUUCUUGGGAGAGCGUGUGCAGUUCCACGGUGUCGUUCCCUGCAGAAGUAACACAUUUGGAGGUGAGGCCAAGAGAACCUGCCGAACAACUGCCGGAUUAACAACUCCACACGUGGGGUGUGGCUGCAUGAGGCUGUGCUGUGGCCUCCUUACACAGACAGUCAGCCGGUGGUGUGAACGUGCAGUGUUAAAAGUGACACCAGAAUGGUGGAGGCGUCACCGUCAGCUGUUGCAAGAGAUGACACCCGGGCCUGCAGGGUUGGGUGAAAGCUCAGGAGCGGCAGCCCCUCCUCGCUUGGGUCCCAGGAUCCUAGGGACCUGAGGAAAGGGGUCCAGGAAGAGGUGAGCUUGGUCUGCCCACUGAACAGGAGGAUUUUGUCCCCGGCAUGCCAAGUACGGGAUACGGAAGAUGUGGGAAUGGUGAGAAACAAGUGGAGGUCAGGAGAGUGGGAGCAGCAAGAAAAGGGGCCACGAGAGUCAUGAAGCUGCUAGUUCCGUUUCCUCCAACAGACUUUUGCUCGAUGCCCAUUCUGAUUAUGCAGACAGCACAGUUGUGAUUUUCACAAAAGAGUUUAAAGACAACCUCUAUGGUUUAUAAGCCAGUUGUGAAAAUGUUACUGACACACUUGAAACAUUUAAAGGAGAAUGCAAAGUGCGCUCUUGCCUGGCUUGGGUGGCAUGAGCAGAUGGCCAGAGUGUUAGAUGACUUCGGAAGAGGCAGGGCUGUUGAAGGUCUCCUUCCUUCUCAGCUGCUACCAUCCAUGGAAGCCCCCGAGAAGAGGAGAGGAAAGACAAAACAGGAGAAAAGAAGACAAGCAGAGAGAAGGGGAGAUUAUUUAAUCCUCCAGCAGUAUUUGAGCAGGCAAAGCAGUCAUGUUAAACCAUUUUUCAGAUGGAGAAACUGAGACCCAGACGGUCUAACCAGCAUCUCCUGGAAGCAGAGCUGCAAGUGGAGCUAAGAUAGUCUGGCUGGAUGCAUUCUGCAGAAAGAUUUGUAUGCAUGUUCUCUCACAGGCUGUGGGUGUAGGUGGAAGAUCUGACCUGUGUGCAGCAUUAGCCGGGGGCUGGACAAAGGUUUACUACAAAGUAAAACUCAAGAACAUACACUCCAGGGGCGCACGCUGGAUGGCUCAGUUGGUUAGAGCGUGAGCUCUGAACAACAGGGUUGCUGGUUCGAUUCCCACAUGGGCCAGUGAGCUGCACCCUCCACAACUAGAUUGAAUACAAU